rnacentral:rRNA from 1 species
GACGAACGCUGGCGGCGUGCUUAACACAUGCAAGUCGAACGGUAAGGCCCUUGGGGGUACACGAGUGGCGAACGGGUGAGUAACACGUGGGUGAUCUGCCCUGCACUUCGGGAUAAGCCUGGGAAACUGGGUCUAAUACCGGAUAGGACCACUGCCUGCAUGGGUGGUGGUGGAAAGCUUUUGCGGUGUGGGAUGGGCCCGCGGCCUAUCAGCUUGUUGGUGGGGUGAUGGCCUACCAAGGCGACGACGGGUAGCCGGGCUGAGAGGGUGACCGGCCACACUGGGACUGCGGUACGGCCCAGACUCCUACGGGGGGCAGCAGUGGGGAAUAUUGCACAAUGGGCGCAAGCCUGAUGCAGCGACGCCGCGUGAGGGAUGACGGCCUUCGGGUUGUAAACCUCUUUCAGCACCGACGAAGCGCAAGUGACGGUAGGUGCAGAAGAAGGACCGGCCAACUACGUGCCAGCCGCCGCCGUAA